rnacentral:lncRNA from 1 species
AAAAAAAAAAAAAAAAAAAAAAAAAAAUCCGUAAUUUAGGAAUGAAGUUUUUAUUUCAAAAGGUUCAUCUGCUUAUCCCUAAAGAUCUCAAAACUUGAAUGACGGGAAAAUGUUGAAUUUUAAAAAUGCAGAUUUCUUAAAUGUCAUAGUCAAAUACAUUUUUUUUUUUUUCUAAAUUGAUUCAAUAUGCAAAAUCAAUUACAAAGAUACAUAUGCAUAUACGAAUAUACAUGUUUGUGUGCAACUUUGUUGUUUUAUUAACAAUUUUUUAGAUCGAAACAGUGACUUGUCCUAGUUGAUGCCAAAAAAUAUUUUGUAUGGGUCAAAC